UCACGGGGAUCAAGCCCUCGUUGGUC
rnacentral:piRNA from 1 species